rnacentral:rRNA from 1 species
UACGUAGGGUGCAAGCGUUGUCCGGAAUUAUUGGGCGUAAAGAGCUCGUAGGCGGUUCGUCGCGUCGGCUGUGAAAACCCGGAGCUCAACUCCGGGCCUGCAGUCGAUACGGGCGGACUCGAGUUCGGCAGGGGAGACUGGAAUUCCUGGUGUAGCGGUGAAAUGCGCAGAGUAUCAGGAGGAACACCGGUGGCGAAGGGCGG